GGUAAGGUAGCUCAGUGGUAGAGUGCUUGCCUUGCAUGCAUGAGGCCCUGGGUUCAAUUCCUCAGCACCA
rnacentral:tRNA from 1 species